CCGUCCUGAGAAGACCGGACCCCAAAUGCUGGAAAAUUAGGAAAAAGCCCCAGGAUGGGUAAAGCAAGCAACUCAAGCAGCGAGGAAGAGAGCAACAAAGUAACUUCACCAAAAGU